GACGAUGAAACAUAAAAAUUGAAA
rnacentral:siRNA from 1 species